rnacentral:rRNA from 1 species
CUACGUGCCAGCAGCCGCGGUAAUACGGAGGAUGCGAGCGUUAUCCGGAUUUAUUGGGUUUAAAGGGUGCGUAGGUUGUUCGGUAAGUCAGCGGUGAAACCUGAGCGCUCAACGUUCAGCCUGCCGUUGAAACUGCCGGGCUUGAGUUCAGUGGCGGCAGGCGGAAUUCGUGGUGUAGCGGUGAAAUGCAUAGAUAUCACGCAGAACUCCGAUUGCGAAGGCAGCUUACUAAGGUACAACUGACGCUGAAGCACGAAAGCGUGGGUAUCAAACAGGAUUAGAUACCCUGGUAGUCCACGCAGUAAACGAUGAUAACUGGGCGUAUGCGAUAUACAGUAUGCUCCUAAGCGAAAGCGUUAAGUUAUCCACCUGGGGAGUACGCCGGCAACGGUGAAACUCAAAGGAAUUGACGGGGGCCCGCACAAGCGGAGGAACAUGUGGUUUAAUUCGAUGAUACGCGAGGAACCUUGCCCGGGAUUGAA